rnacentral:lncRNA from 1 species
GAGAAGUUUAAAGGAACAAACAUUAGGUAUUUACUUAGAGCGUUUUGUCAAUUAAAGUGACUGCUACAGUUACCGAAAUAAGAAAAAGAAUAAUGACUUUAUUAAAAUACGCACUCGACAGAUCAAAUGGUGGUGAUCGGCGCGUAAAAGGUAAUUCACCCGAUGUAUAACAUUCAUACUUUUUCCUAGUUGUUCUGGAACUAUUGA